UGCGUAGGCGGGUUUCUAAGUCAGAGGUGAAAGCCUGGAGCUCAACUCCAGAACUGCCUUUGAUACUGGAAGUCUUGAGUUCGGGAGAGGUGAGUGGAACUGCGAGUGUAGAGGUGAAAUUCGUAGAUAUUCGCAAGAACACCAGUGGCGAAGGCGGCUCACUGGGCCGAUUACUGACGCUGAGGCACGAAAGCGUGGGGAGCAAACA
rnacentral:rRNA from 1 species